AUGGCAGUGGCGAGUACCUCUUCGUCUCUCCGCCUCCUGCCUCUCCUCCUCGUACUCCUACUCACUGCCACCAGCGAGGCCACCACAUUCAAAAUCAUCAACCAAUGCUCCUACACCAUGUGGCCAGCCGUUCUGCCGGGAGGUGGCGUGAAGCUCGAUCCGGGGGAGACGUGGGAGCUGAACGUGCCCGCUGGUACCUCAGCAGGGCGCAUCUGGGCGCGCACAGGCUGCUCACUCCUUGGCAAAGGCGGGUCAUGCCAAACUGGCGACUGCAGCGGCUUGCUCACCUGUACGGUCAGUGGUAGAUCGCCAAACACGCUGGGCGAGUUCAGGCUUGGCCAAGGCCAAAGUGAUGAUGAUUUCUUCGACAUCUUGCUCACUGAUGGCUUCAACGUGCCCAUGGACUUCCUGCCGGUGCCGGUUCAGGGAAAGUCAGGGUGCAGCAAGGGGCCGCGCUGUGCAGCCAACAUCACAUCGCAGUGCCCAAGAGAGCUGAAGGCUCCGGGAGGGUGUAACAAUCCAUGUAUUAGGAGCGCAGAAAGCAAUUGCAGUUACACAAUUAACUCGGUCUUCUUUAAGCGGUUGUGCCCAGAUGCCUACAGCAAUCCCAACGAUUUUUCCACUUUCACUUGCCCGACGGGCACAGACUACCAGGUCAUCUUCUGUCCCCUGAUUAAUCAAGCAAUAUCGCCUACAGCUGAAAGUCCCCUGCCUGCGCCCCCCGCCAAUGUAACACCUCCGACCCCAGCUCCUGUAGGCGGCUUCAUUUUGUUCACCAUCAUGAUCCUCAGCAUCUUCUUUAUAUGCAAACGAAGAACACAACGACAGAAUGAGAUGGAAGAAGAAGAAGAGUUUGGGGAGCUACAAGGUACACCAAUGAGGUUCACAUUCCAACAGCUAAAAGCAGCAACCGAGCAAUUCGCAGACAAGCUCGGGGAAGGAGGAUUUGGGUCUGUUUUCAAGGGACAAUUUGGUGAUCAAAGGAUUGCAGUGAAACGUUUGGAUCGAACUGGUCAGGGCAAAAGUGAAUUUUCAGCAGAGGUUCAGACAAUUGGCAGCAUUCAUCAUAUUCAUCUGGUGAGAUUGAUUGGUUUCUGUGCAGAGAAAUCCCAUAGGCUCUUGGUAUAUGAGUACAUGCCCAAAGGAUCCUUGGACAGAUGGAUUUAUUGUCGACAUGACAAUGAUGCCCCUCCUUUAGAUUGGAGCACGCGGUGCAAGAUUAUAACUCACAUAGCUAAGGGCCUCUCUUAUCUUCAUGAGGAGUGCACAAAAAGAAUUGCUCAUUUGGAUGUCAAACCGCAAAAUAUUCUCUUAGAUGACAACUUCGAUGCUAAACUUUCUGAUUUUGGACUAUGCAAGCUCAUCGACAGGGAUAUGAGCCAAGUGGUUACCAGAAUGAGAGGCACACCUGGAUAUUUAGCUCCUGAAUGGUUGACAUCACAGAUCACGGAAAAGGCGGAUAUCUACAGCUUUGGCAUCGUGGUCAUGGAAAUCAUCAGUGGAAGAAAGAACCUUGACACUUCCCGGUCAGAAGAGAGCGUCCAUCUCAUCACCCUAUUGGAGGAAAAGGUGAAGAAUGAUCAGUUGGUAGAUUUGAUUGACAAUAACAGUAACGACAUGCAAGCACACAAGCAAGAUGUAAUUCAGAUGAUGAUGCUUGCAAUGUGGUGCUUGCAGAUUGAUUGCAAAAAAAGGCCUAAAAUGUCCGAAGUCGUCACAGUCCUAGAAGGUGCCAUGGAUGUUGACACCAACAUAGAUUAUAACUUUGUCGCAACAGGUCGAGCUAAUUUUGGUAAUGAUGGAAGUGUGAACUCCUCAGCUCCACCUGUAGGCUCAGAUCUAUCAGGGCCCAGGUGA
rnacentral:rRNA from 1 species